UACGAAGGGUGCAAACGUUGCUCGGAAUCAUUGGGCGUAAAGCGCACGUAGGCGGCUUCGCAAGUCGGAUGUGAAAUACCUCGGCUCAACCAAGGACGUGCAUCCGAAACUGCGAAGCUUGAGUACUGAAGAGGAUCGCGGAAUUCCCGGUGUAGAGGUGAAAUUCGUAGAUAUCGGGAGGAACACCAGUGGCGAAGGCGGCGAUCUGGGCAGAUACUGACGCUGAGGUGCGAAAGCGUGGGGAGCAAACAGG
rnacentral:rRNA from 1 species